rnacentral:rRNA from 1 species
AUUGAACGCUGGCGGCAGGCCUAACACAUGCAAGUCGAACGAGUGGCGGACGGGUGAGUAAUGUCUGGGAAACUGCCCGAUGGAGGGGGAUAACUACUGGAAACGGUAGCUAAUACCGCAUACCAUCGGAUGUGCCCAGAUGGGAGUAGCUAGUAGGUGGGGUAAUGGCUAACCUAGGCGACGAUCACUCGCUGGUCUGAGAGGAUGACCAUCCUCACUGGAACUGGGACACGGUCCAGACUCCGACGUGAGGCAGCAGUGGGGAAUAUUGCACAAUGGGCGCAAGCCGGAUGCAGCCAUGCCGCGUGUAUGAAGAAGGCCUUCGGGUUGUAAAGUACUUUCAGCGGGGAGGCGUUACCCGCAGAAGAAGCACCGGCUAACUCCGUGCCAGCAGCCGCGGUAAUAG